UCCACGGCUCAUACCAGUAGGCCAGUAUUUGAACUCGAGGAGGGACAGUCUGCUGGCACCACAUCUCCCCAGGAAGAUACUUUAGAGAGACCUACCAGUAUAUGUGAACUUGAUGAGGGACAGCCAGCUGCCACGUCUCCCCAACAAGAUAUGUCAGAGAAGCCUGAACGAUCAACCAAUGAGUCCCAUUGAAGGUGAUGAUGAGCCUCUUUCUUCAGACCCAGCCAAGUGGCCAUCACCAAUUACCGACAGCAUACGCACAAAGCUAGUUCGAGGAGGACCUACCAAGGUGCCAACUACUUUCAUAUUUCCCAGGUAUGAAGGCGAUGGCAGGUGUUGUCAUCAUCACUAAUUCAGUAGAACUUUGACAAGUGGUGAGAAGGUGGCCAGGAGCUGGAUGUUGUAUUCAGUUAGCAAACGUUGUUAUAUAUAAUACACUCCACGCAAUUUGAAACAAAGUUGUAGGUGUAAUUUUUUUUCUUGUGUGUGUGUGUGUUUGUGUGUGUGUGUGUGUGUGUGUGUGUGUGUGUGUGUGUGUGUGUGUGUGUGUAACCAGUUUGCCCCGCUGGUUGAUAAUGGAAACUGCGCUGAUCCUGCUGCUGUUUAGUAGACCAAUUCCUUUCUAAAUGAUUAAGUAAAUAACUGUUUGUGGUCGUGUACAAUGCUGUUGUAUAUUUACCUCUGUAUGUAUUUUUAAUUUAACAUAUUUGUUUGAAUUCACAUUUAUUAAAUCCAUCUUUUGAUGUAAAAACUGCAUUUAAAAUUAUGGAAAUGCUAUAUUUCUCCGCAGGAGUGUGUGUGUGUG